CUGCUGCCUUCCGUAGGAGUUUGGGCCGUGUCUCAGUUCCAAUGUGGGGGACCUUCCUCUCAGAACCCCUACGCAUCGUCGGCUUGGUGGGCCGUUGCCCCACCAACUACCUAAUGCGCCGCAUGCCCAUCCGUGACCGGGGUCGCCCCUUUGGCCGGCAGGGGAUGUCCCCUCCCGGCAUUAUGUUGUAUUAGGCGGGAUUUCUCCCGGUUAUCCAUCUGUCACGGCCAGGUUGCAUACGUGUUACUCACCCGUGCGCCGGUCGCCGGCGG
rnacentral:rRNA from 1 species